GAAAAGAAAAAGAACUCAUUAAGGUGCAUUUGAAUUUGAUAAGUCAAAAAAAGUAAUUGGAGUGCCUCGAUCUGCUCAAAAAAGUGAUACUAGUCCGUUUGAAUCUAGAAAAGCAAAAAAAGUGUUUGAAGUGGCUCAAGGUGCUAAGGAAACUGAAACUAGUCUGUUUGAAUUUAACAAGGCUAAAAAAGUGACUGAAGUGUCUCGGCAAGAUCAAAGAAGUUUGUUUGAAUCUAGAAAAGCAAAAAAAGUGGUUGAAGUGGUACAAGAUGCUGAGGGAAUUGAAACUAAUUUUGCAGGUCCAUGUGAAACAAAAAGGGCAAAGAAUGUGAGGGGAACAAAUAUUUGUAAGAAUGUUUUGCGAUUGAGACAUGGAGAAAAAUUAAAAGUCACUUUCUAUCAAAAUCGAGUCGUCAGGCAGAAUCACACCUC